rnacentral:tRNA from 1 species
GUCCCCAUCGUCUAGAGGCCUAGGACACCGGGUUUUCAACCCGGCGACCGGGGUUCGAAUCCCCGUGGGGACG